rnacentral:tmRNA from 1 species
GGGGCUGAUUUUGGUUUCGACUUCGUAGCUCAAGCCAGGGGAAGCGUGCCGGUGCAGGCUGAGGACCACCGUAAGCGUCGCAGCAAACUGAUAAGCGCCGAGAACACUCAGCGCGACUACGCCCUCGCUGCCUAAUAGCAGCCAGCGCGUGUCUGUCAGCCCGGGUUAGUCCCUGACCCGCAAGCUGGCAUCGACUUAAAGGGACUUGCCUUAGGGCCGCGUCAGCGGGGCCCUAAGGGACACCUUCCGCUGACUGGGCCCGUCAUCCGGACGUGUUCGACCGAACCGGAGGGCCGAGUAGAGGCUCCGCGCGAACUGCGCACGGAGAAGCCCUGGCGCGACAACGAAGGACCCGGGUUCGACCCCCGGCAGCUCCACCA